rnacentral:rRNA from 1 species
GAUGAACGCUGGCGGCGUGCCUAAUACAUGCAAGUCGAGCGAAUGGAUUAAGAGCUUGCUCUUAUGAAGUUAGCGGCGGACGGGUGAGUAACACGUGGGUAACCUGCCCAUAAGACUGGGAUAACUCCGGGAAACCGGGGCUAAUACCGGAUAACAUUUUGAACCGCAUGGUUCGAAAUUGAAAGGCGGCUUCGGCUGUCACUUAUGGAUGGACCCGCGUCGCAUUAGCUAGUUGGUGAGGUAACGGCUCACCAAGGCAACGAUGCGUAGCCGACCUGAGGGUGAUCGGCCACACUGGGACUGAGACACGGCCCAGACUCCUACGGGAGGCAGCAGUAGGGAAUCUUCCGCAAUGGACGAAAGUCUGACGGAGCAACGCCGCGUGAGUGAUGAAGGCUUUCGGGUCGUAAAACUCUGUUGUUAGGGAAGAACAAGUGCUAGUUGAAUAAGCUGGCACCUUGACGGUACCUAACCAGAAAGCACCGGCUAACUACGUGCCAGCCGCCGCAGAA